rnacentral:lncRNA from 1 species
AUCAUCUUUAUCUGAUGCUUGUCGCAAUGCCUCUUUUUCACGCCUCUUCUUCUCUUUCUUUUCUUUCUUUGAGAGAGUUCGUUUGAAAUUCUGUAUUACUCCUUCUUUUUCUUGUUUUUCAGGGCCAUUACUCUGAGCCUUUGGAGGAAGCGUAUCAUUUUCAUUCUUGAGAACAAACCUUCCUUCUCGAUCAUCUUUGUUCCAGUUUAAUUGUACAACAAGAGGCUUCUCAUCCACAUCUAAUCUUCU